UACGGAGGGCGCAAGCGUGAUCCGGAAUCACUGGGUUUAAAGGGUGCGUAGGCGGCUAGAUAAGUCAGAGGUGAAAGUUUGACGCUUAACGAUAGAACUGCCUUUGAUACUGUUAAGCUUGAAAGUAGGUGAGGUUGGCGGAAUGUGACAUGUAGCGGUGAAAUGCAUAGAUAUGUCAUAGAACACCGAUUGCGAAGGCAGCCGGCCAACCUGACUGUGACGAUGAGGCACGAAAGCGUGGGUAGCGAACAGG
rnacentral:rRNA from 1 species